rnacentral:lncRNA from 1 species
CUGCCAAAUACAAGGGAGAUAAGAACGCACCAGACUUGCACAAACCAGAGCUGGUGACCCCCAGUUCCCUUUAAAUCAGCGACAUGUCAUUACAAGGCGGAAGUCCUGCCCGAGAGGACAGUCCCCAGGCCUUGCUAAGCAUGCGUGGUAUCAAGAGGUGCAUUGAGGCGCUCCUGCAGCCUCCUCCCGGCACGGGACUCCUCACAACCCCCAGCCUCAGCUUCCCUGACAGGGCAGGGGCUCACUCUUCUCCACUCCGGGCCAGGAACGCAGCCUGCUUGCCUUUUGUCCAAUUGGGUGCUCUUUCUUUGCGACUGAUACAAAGUGGGAACAAACUCCGCUUCCGGUGAUGCCCGGGCCCCAGGAGGCUGGGGGAGAAGUGCACGCUGCCCAGCCUUCAACCUGAACUGCCCCCAGCACUUCCGAGCCCCGACCCCUGCAGCUGUGAGGGAAGCCCCGACCUCUGCCCUGGCCACAUCCUUCCCCUGAUCUCAUGGCUGAAAAGCCACACCAGAAUUCCUGCAAUUCAGUGAGGCAGCUCUUCAAAACCAAGCAGCUGGUGACGCACAGGGACAGAGGGUAGGCCUGCGGGGGAGAGGGCGGGAAAGGCCCUCACAGCAGGGCCCAGAGGAAGACUGACCCCAGGCUGAGCAGGAGCUGUACGCACAGGGCCCAGGGGCUGCUGGCUGCCAGGACCACCGCAUUGCAGAGGUCUCCCUUGCAGCAAGAGAUCUGGGAGUCCACAACGGCACUUGUAAGUUUCAGCAGGGGGAAUCCGACGUCCUUCUGGCAGGAGAGGAGGGAGAGCUUGUUCUCCCCUCUCACUUUACCUGCGAGAGAGCGGGGUGGGGGAUGAGCAGGGCCCUGCCCCGGGGCCUCAGGGGCUUUCUGCAGGGAGGCUCCGCACCCCAACAUCUGCUGGCUGGGAGCCUGAACAUCAAAGCCAUCAGGACCAAGGCCAUCGGAGCCCUUUCACUUAGGGGACGCUGAGGCCACCCAGGGAACCAGGGUUGUGGCAGAAAGGGCAGCAGGGUUUGAGUUCUUUCCCCAGGCAGCCCUCACCCUGCCCCGGCCUUGGGACCCCCGAAGCGGGAGCUGGGUGGGCUGUGGAGGGGAGCUGGGUGCUGCUUUUGGGAAACAGCUGCGGGCUCCAGGCUGGCUUUUUUUUUUUUAAAUAUCUUUUUGAGAUGGAGUUUUGCUCUUGUGGCCCAGGCUGGAGUGCAAUGGGGCGAUCUCUGCUCACCACAACCUCCACCUCCUGGGUUCAAGCGAUUCUCCUGCCUCAGCCUCCCCAGUAGCUGGGAUUACAGGCAUGCCCCACCAGGCCCGGCUAAUUUUGUAUUUUUAAUAGAUACAGGGUUUCUCCAUGUUGGUCAGGCUGGUCUCCAACUCCCGACCUCAGGUGAUCCCCCCGCCUUGGCCUCCCAAAGUGCUGGGACUACAGUCAUGAGCCACCGUGCCCGGCCAGGGCAGGCCUUUUCCUGCCUCACCUCACUGAAGGGUGUGGCCUGGGGACAGAUGCAGCUCCGAGAGCUGAGGGUGCUGAGGGUGCUGAGGGUGCUGAGGGCCUGGGCAGGCUGCAGCCCCUCCCCAGUCCUCCCAUGGCCUGGCUGAUAUCCCACCAUUCCAGAGUCAUUCCUUUAGCUUGAAGCUAACUGUCUCCAGGUUCUUCCAGGCAGGUAACUCACUGAAUGCUCACAGCCUGCGCCUCUCCUGCAUGGAGCUGGUGAGACCCGCGGCAUGAAGUGGGGACAAGGGGCAGAGGUCACUGGGGUCCCCAGAGUAGCUACAGCAGCUGGCGUUGGGAGGCUACUGGGAAGUUGGUGUGGGCCCUGCUGCUGGGCACUGGGAGGGGCUGGGAUGGUUUCCACAGUAAUGAGGGCCCUGUGGGCGCCCCCUGCUCUAGAACCCGGAACAUCCCCUGUCCCUGCAGACCCACAACCCUUAGGCUCAGUUUGGUGGCCCAGGCUCCUCAGCCCUGCCGCUCUUCCACCCUUCCCUGCACAGG